rnacentral:sRNA from 22 species
UAUUGAAACCAUUCAAAACAAUACAGCGAGUUAAAAUAAAGCUUAGUCCGUAUACAACUUGAAAAAAGUGGCACCGAUUCGGUGCUUUUUUG